rnacentral:rRNA from 1 species
AUGCUGUCUCGAGGGGAGCGCCUCGCCCUCGUCAGGCACAUCCUUGCCGCAAUGCCGUCCCACAUUCUCAUGGCUAUGGCGAUCUGCCCUCCGGUGCUCAAGCGCAUCAACCGCAUCAUGCGGGAAUUUCUGUGGCAUCGGUGACAUGACACCAAGGUCGGGCAUUGCCUCGUCAACUGGCAGAGAGUUUGUCGC